UAACCCACUUGGUUCAACAAUUUCAAUUUCAAAGGUACGUAGCUAAUAUAUUUAUAUUUUUUGGGCCGGCUAAUGUUGUGGUAAUGUUAUUUCAACCUGCUAGCUAGCAGAUAGAUUAUGCUAAUCUUAGCUGUGGUAAUGUCAUUUCAACCUGCUAGCGAGCUAAAUCUGGUUAAAACAUUAGGUAACAAAGUAAGAUUAAUUACUGCAGAUUAAUCACUGUAUUUGAGUGAUUGUUAAUGGUUAGUGGUUAUCUUUCAAAUGAUGCCUGUGAGGCACUUGACGUUGAGACUGGUUGACUUCCAGGCUGCUUUGGAAUAAGGAUACCUCUGAGGCAGCCACCAGUUUUUGGAUAACUCUGAGGCAUCAUAGGUAGUGUUGACUGCCAGGCUGCCUAGUCGUUGGUAUACAGGUUAACUCACAGGCAUCCAGUUGGUUUUAGAUACCUGUAAAGGCAUCUAGAUGGACAUUAAGAGGGGCUGACUCCCAGGCUGCUUACUAACACUGGUUAGCUCUCAGGCAGCCAAUUGGCUUUGGAUGCCUGUGAGGCACUUGACAAAAACAACUUUAAAGAGAGGGGUUCUAAAUAGACUGGCUGGUUGAAUAAAGCACAUUUUAACACAUUCAAUUAAUGAAAAACAAGUAGAUAUGUUAGGGAUGAUAGACAACAUGUUAUAGAAUAAUAAUUGAAUCAAAACCCAAUUUCACCAAAAUACUGAGUUUCGACCUACUAGUAUUUUCACUCUAAUCUCAAAAAUGUCCCUUUUCACCAUGUGACUGGUUUCGGCAGAGCCCAUCACAGUUUUGGGUUAUAGGAACAUCUGUUGGGAUGGCAGUAAAGACAGAAGGGCUAUGUACAGACAUUACAUGUGUACAAUACUGUACUGUAUGUAAAGAAGAUGAAAUCCUAAUAUUGUUACGAAUAAUAUUGUUGAAACAUUGAAACCUUCUUUGAGUGUGACUCAGAAAUUAUUUUUACAAAGAUACCAGAUAACGGUGGAGGAGAUCAGGAGGAGGACUGCUCCACCUGAGAGCAUGUCAAUAAAUACCCUCACUGCGCUCCUGAGAACCGACAAAAAUUUGAAGAGGGACCUCAGGGAGCAGCUGCAGGAGGUCGGGGUGACUCCGGGCACAGUGACCAAAGUCACCUCACUGUGCUCAAAGCUGUCAGAGGGUACAGUUCAAUUCUACUCACUAUUCUUGUAACGGCACUUUUUACAUACAUUUAUAUCAAUAAAGAACUUCAGAAAGCCAGCUCCAAACUAUUACACCCGUGUCAAUAAGUGUUUCAUUGUCACAUUGGUAUGUGCAUCAAAUCUGAAUUUAAUACUGUGUUCGUGUCAUGAUAUGUCUUUCCCAUUUUUGUUAAGGCGAAGUCAAGGACCUGUGCUCCUCUGUCGGUGCUCUGGCUGCCAGGAGCAUCGAAUUUAAAGAAGUGGCCAUGCUGCCGGCAUCAGACCCCACUGUGGCCACAGGGAGAGCCACGGAGUUCAAACAACAGCUCCAGCACCUCGCCAACCAGGUGAGGUCAAAUGAUCAAUUUGACCUCCUCACGCACACCUUGGGGCCAGGAAUGGUAGAGGUGGUGGUGGAUAUUUUUAAAAAGUGUGUUGACACACACAUUGAAAAUAUUAACAAUUUGUUGUUUGUUGUGUUCAUUAAUUAAAUAUCUUCAUGUUCUACA